rnacentral:rRNA from 1 species
AUUGAACGCUGGCGGCAGGCCUAACACAUGCAAGUCGAGCGGAUGAAGGGAGCUUGCUCCUGGAUUCAGCGGCGGACGGGUGAGUAAUGCCUAGGAAUCUGCCUGGUAGUGGGGGAUAACGUCCGGAAACGGGCGCUAAUACCGCAUACGUCCUGAGGGAGAAAGUGGGGGAUCUUCGGACCUCACGCUCUCAGAUGAGCCUAGGUCGGAUUAGCUAGUUGGUGGGGUAAAGGCCUACCAAGGCGACGAUCCGUAACUGGUCUGAGCGGAUGAUCAGUCACACUGGAACGGAGACAGGGUCCAUACUACUACGGGAGGCAGCAGUGGGGAAUAUUAGACAGUGGGCGAAAGCCUUAUCCAGCCAUGCCGCGUGUGUGAAGAAGGUCUUCGGAGUGGAAAGCACGUUAAGUGGGGAGGAAGGGCAGUAAGUUAAUACCUUGCUGGUUUGACGUUACCAACAGAAUAAGCACCGGCUAACUUCGUG